UAACAUGUGAUUAAUAUUCUCGUAGUCUCCUUCAGACAUUAUGGGUGAUGUAAAAUUGAGUUUCUGGUGCA